rnacentral:rRNA from 1 species
CCUACGGGAGGCAGCAGUGAGGAAUACUGGUCAAUGGACGAGAGUCUGAACCAGCCAAGUAGCGUGAAGGAUGACUGCCCUAUGGGUUGUAAACUUCUUUUAUAUGGGAAUAAAAUGUUCCACGUGUGGGAUUUUGUAUGUACCAUAUGAAUAAGGAUCGGCUAACUCCGUGCCAGCAGCCGCGGUAAUACGGAGGAUCCGAGCGUUAUCCGGAUUGAUUGGGUUUAAAGGGAGCGUAGGUGGAUUGUUAAGUCAGUUGUGAAAGUUUGCGGCUCAACCGUAAAAUUGCAGUUGAAACUGGCAGUCUUGAGUACAGUAGAGGUGGGCGGAAUUCGUGGUGUAGCGGUGAAAUGCUUAGAUAUCACGAAGAACUCCGAUUGCGAAGGCAGCUCACUGGACUGCAACUGACACUGAGGCUCGAAAGUGUGGGUAUCAAACAGGAUUAGAUACCCUUGUAGUC